GUCCGCAGAGGUUGCAUCAGCAACUCGUAGGCAGCAGCCGGUCGAGGUCCCCGCAGCCGCCGUAGGUGAACCUGCGGAAGGUCCGCUUCUUCCGCGCCUCUGCUCCCGCCAUCUGGUCGUUUCUCUGGAAAGUCUAAGGUGGGCUCAGUUAGUUCAGCCCCAAGGGCCCCCUUCUCGGCGGGCACUGGAUCCCUGACCAGGGGCCGCCUCGUGGGAGCUGGCUGGGGGAUCAGUUUCCUCCCGCUGAAGACCGAGGGGACAGCUCCCAGUUUGAUCCUGUCCGAAGGAGAACUGCAGCUGGACAAUAGGAAGUAAACGUACUGUCUAAGACGGAGUCUGAGAAGUCACCGGUCGAUCAGAAAUGAUACGGGACAGUCCGCUGAAAGGAGAUUUUGCAGCCCUCUCCAACAUAUGCAUGAAGCAGCUUCCGGUAGAUCGUUGGUCCAGAAAUUCAUCCAACAUAAUGGACUAACAAAUAUUGAAUGGGCACAGAACCCAUUCAAACACUCAGAAAAAUGAAAUACUCUCAAGGACUAAAAAAACUUUCCCACAGAUGAAGAAAACUCACUACAUAAAUAUGAUAACCAAAUUUUCCAUCAUAAAAUUGAUGCAUGCAGUGAGUGAUGAAAAAAAGAUGAAAACAUCAGAAAUACAAGAAUGCAGGGAAGAAGGGAGAUGAGAACUGGCAGAAUUUAGGAAUUAAAUAGGAGACCCCAAAAAAAUUGUUUUCAGAAAACAAUAAAUUAGAAGGAGGACAAGGAAGAUAAGACACUACAGAUAAUACAGAAGAUACCUGCAGAUGUCAAAGAACAGAGGCCAAAAAUCCAACAUAUGCAUAAUUGAUGUCUCCAAAGAAGAAAAACAAAACUAUGAGACAGCAUAAUUACUUAAAAUAUAAUUCAAGAACACUUUCCUGAAGUAAAAGAAGACUUGAAUGUAUACACUGAAAGGACAAAUCAUGUGCUGGGAAAACUGACUCCAAAUGGUCAGAAUUGAGACAUAGCCUAAUGAAAUUGUGAGAUUUUUAAAGGUAAAGGAUUCUUUCAGCAGCACAAUGAUCAAAUCACUUAUAAAGGAAAGAAAUCAGGCUGACGUUAGACUUCCCCACAGCACUAUUUAACUCCAAUACAAUGAAGCAUUUCUUAUAAGAUAUUUAAGGAACAUAAAUUAGAGACAAUGAUUUUAUAUCCAGACAAACUGUCUUUCAAGCCCAAAGGCUAACAGUUUGAACAAGCAAGAACUCUGGGAAAAUUGUUCUUGUGAGCCUUUCCUGAGGAAAAUAGUAGAAUGUGAUGGUGAAUUUUAUCUAUCAACUUGACUGGGCCAUGGGGUGCCCAAAAAAGUGUCAAACAUUAUUCUAGGUGUGUCUGAGGGUGUUUUGGAUGGGAUUAACAUUUGAAUCAGACUGAGUAAAGAAGUCUCAUCUGAUCAAAGACUUUAAAAGAACAAAAAGGCGGACCCUCCCCUAAGUAAAGGGACUUCCUCCUGACCUACAGCUUGAGCUGGGACAUUAGUCUUUUCCUGCCUUUGAACUUGAAUUCAAACAUCAGCUCUUCCUGGGUCUCCAGCUUCCUGGCUUCUGAACUAGAACUACACCAUUGGCUCUUCUGGGUCUCCCGUUUGCCAACUAUAGAUUUGGGGAUUUCUCAGAUGCCAUAAUUGCAUGAGCCAAUUCCUUAUAAGGAGGAAAGAAAGAGGGACGCCUGGGUGGCUCAGCUGGUUAAGCGGCUGCCUUCGGCCUGGGUCAUGAUCCCAGUGUCCUGGGAUCGAGUCCCACAUCGGGUUCCUUGCUCAGCAGGGAGCCUUCUUCUCUCUCUCUCUCCCUCUGCUUGUGCUCUGUCAAAUAAAUAAAAUCUUUAAAAAAAAAGGAAGGAAGGAAAGAAAGAAAAGAAAGAAAAGGAAAGGAAAGGAAGAAAGAAAAGGAAGGAGGAAAAGAAGGACGGAAGGAAGACCCAGUUGGUUCUAUUCUCUGGAGAACCCAGACUAGGAGAGUAGAGAAUGAAUGCUAGUCAAAUGAGAUAACUGGGAAAAAAAACAGGCAAAAAGAAUGUCAGUGAGCAUCAAAUAUAUUUAACUACAGACCCAAAUAAAAACAAAGGCAGAGGUAAAAGUGACAGAAAAGAAUAUAAAUGGUGUACAUAUACUCCGACAAUUUAGAAAUGAGGGGAGGAAGAUAGACUAUGGUGGAAUGGAAAAGAAGUGAGUUGAUUACUUGAUUCCUAAUAAUCAGAGGUCAAUAGUUAGCACUCAAAACUAACUGGAAGGGGCAGUUCCUGAGUCUGGCAAUUGAAAAUUAGACUUUGGAGGCUUUAGGAUGAACACAGCUGUAGAAUGAAGAUGGGACUUGAGUUUAAUUCUCAGCUCUGCUGCUCUGGACUUCAAGUAAUUAUAUUUAGCUGGCCCUUGGAGAUGUGGAUACCCACCUGAAAUGAUUAUUCUUACCAGAAAGUUGCCAAAGGCUGGCUUGGGCUGACCCUGACCCCCAGGGCUGUGUGAAGGAGUCAUGCCUCCUCUCCUUAUAGGCAAGAGCCAAGAACUUGACUGAUUUUCUACAGUGCUAAUUCCUAUGUCAAAGGUGAUUCUAGGAGUGUGAGACACCACCUUCCCCUUUCAGCUCCCUCCUCUAGAGGAUUUCAUCCACCUGCUGGAUCCUCCCCAGGCUUUCCUGUUUCUUGGAGCUGCUUCCUGCUGUGCUAUUUUUUUUUUUUUUUUUAGUUUCUCUCUCUCAUUAUAAACAUUUAAAAAUUGUUUUAUUUAAAGAUAUUUGUCUAGAGUACACUUAUGAUGAGCACUGAGUAAUGUACAGAAUUAUUGGAUCAUGAUAUUGUUCAUCUGAAACUGAUAUGACACUGUAUGUUAAUUAUACUUCAAUUUAAAAAAAAAGAUAUUUCUCCAGUCUUAUUCUUGAGAUUUUAUGUAUUUUUACCGUUUCAAUUUUUAGGUUUAGUUCUUAAUCCUUAAAUCCCAUCUACUUGUAUUCCUUUUUAUACUUUUUACCUUACAUUUUUCUCUUUUCUCUUAAUCUUUCAUCUCAUUUACUUUCAUAUUUUUAACCUUUUCUUUUGCUAGUUUAUGGCCUUUUAUAUUUUCUUAUAAAUCUCACCCAUUCUAUUCUAUUGUUAUUUUUAAGUUCCUAACCUUUCAUCUUUAUUGUGAUUUAUAUUCUCUUAAAAAAUGUGUAUUGCUUUUCUAUUGUUGUUUUAAUCUCCUUCUAACCCUCUAUAUUCUCUCUCAUGAUUGGAAUAGUCAUAUUCAUUUUUCCCCUUUUCUUAUAUAUCUGUUAUAAUUUUCAUUUCUUUUCACAAUGGCCAGCCAGAAGGCAUUACUACAGCUGUGGUAGCAAAAGAAAAGCUCAGCCCUAAGGGGAGGCUGGGGUCCUUGUUCCUUGCAUUCAUCCUAAGAGUUAUAUCCUGUUCCUCCAGAGGCUGAGACACCCCCUGUUUUUAAAUCAUCGAUCUCCAAGUCAAUUAGACCUGCUAGGAUCAGUUUCUAUCCAGCUGGAUAUUAAACUUUUGUUCCAUUGCCUCAAGGGAGAUGUUUUCUCUCUGAUUUCCUACCAAGCAGAAUGCUGA